UGACCUGUGAAAUAGCUCAGUAGGUAGAGCAUAAAACUCUUAAUCUCAGGAUCCUGGGUUCUAGCCUCAUGCUGGGUAA